UGUAAGUAUAACAAAACUCAUAUUGCAGGCAAAAACCUGUGAAAAAUAGAUUUUAAAAAAAUGUGAAUUUUGUGACUGUACUAUUUAGUGUCAUUGUUUUAUAGAUACCAUAGUGAGAAAGGAUUCAUUUCGCAACACCUACGGCUUCCACUAGAUGUCAACGAUCUUUAUAAAGUUGUUUGAAGCGUCUAUGAUAAACAGAGAGCAAAUUAGAAUCCAAGGAAGUUGACAUGUCAUCACUUCAUUUUUUUGCGCCUGCGCAUAAAUCUGAGAAGCAAACCACAUUUGUUCCGGACCUGGGAUGCCUUCCGGACCUGGGAUGCCUGCCUUCUGAUGGAGAUAAUCAAAGCAUCAUUGAUUCUGCCUGCGGAGCUUUCCAGUGGGGGUCUGCGAGGAAAACCGGUGGCGCAUUUGAUGAAGUGUGAGGGAAAUUCCCGUCUAACCAAAAGAGGACGGGGACCUGCCCAGAACAGACUCUUACUGUGAACUGCCCAGGAGGAGACACAUCAUCCAUGAACAAUUGAGGAACGGCAACUGAUUUCAAUUGGGUCUGCUGGAUGGUCUGAUUUCUCCCUAAGGAUUAGCCCUUUGACUCCCUGACCUGUUAUGGUGAAGGUGACCACAGAUGGUAUCUAAAUGCAUGGAAGAUAAGUUGGCCGAGAGCAGAACAGUGUUAACCUCAACACCCCCCUAAAAAAAUCCUGAAAAUGUUGUUCAGUAUGGUCCUUCACCACUUCUACCGUGAGACCUGAGUCCAAGCCAGCAACCUGUACACAGCAUCCAGAAGCUAUCGACUGCCUUUUCUCUCAUGUUUUUUUUCUCAGGAUUGUGACAUGGGUCCAUGUGGAGUGAGCAUGGCGAGAGAUCCAGUCCAAACCUCUCUCAUGCUGCCGGUGUACUGGUAGGAAAAUGGACAAGAUAUAAUGGACUGUAAAGGACAGUGGCGGCUCAGGUGAGAGACAUUAUCAAGGGCCAUCCACUUUGAACAUGUGCCAUUAAAAUGACAAACUGAAACACUAUCUGAAGAAGAACAUGAAGAAACGCCAGGAAAGGAAUGGUGUCGUGAAGUGUGGGUGGUCUACCGUGCCCGUAAUUGAUUUAGGCUUAUCCAAAAUGGUUUAUUUGGGGUAUCAGGUUGAUUGUGGAGGUCUGCACAGAGCAUCAUGUUUUUUGCUCCUCCAGAGGAUGGAGAAAGAGUUAGAUGCCCACUCUGGAUGAGCCCCCUUUCCCCCUGUAGAUACGGACGAUGAGUAAUGAUUGAAGGUUGUUUCUUUUAACAAGUUGAAGGUAAGGUCAUCUAAACCCUUAACCUUUUUACAUCAUGUGAACACUGAGCUGACCUUUUGGGGGUCUUAGCAGAAUUGUUAAACAACUGGGUUUUAUAUUUUGACUAAGUUGAUGUCCCAGGGACAGUUAGUGACAACAUAGGUCAAUGCAACGUAAUUGUGGUAAGAAAUAUGGAAACAAUGGUUAACAUUGAGAGAUGUAUUCACCUCUGAACCACACAGAUCCCUUGUGUAUGUGUGUAUUCUUUUGAUACUCAUUCCUGUUAAGAGAAGUAUAACCUUUAUUAUGAUUAUAAUAUUACCAUACUAAGUGGAUUGUACAACCCAGAAUGAAGGGUUUGAAAUGAUGAAGUGUCUCGG
rnacentral:lncRNA from 1 species